rnacentral:rRNA from 1 species
AAGGGGCUUCGGCCCUGAGUAGAGUGGCGAACGGGUGAGUAACACGUGGGUGAUCUACCUUUGAGUGGGGGAUAACGUUCCGAAAGGAGCGCUAAUACCGCAUGACGUUCUGGGUUUGAAGACCUGGAAACCAAAGUCGGGGACCGCAAGGCCUGACGCUUGGAGAGGAGCCCGCGCCUGAUUAGCUAGUUGGUGAGGUAAUGGCUCACCAAGGCGACGAUCAGUAGCCGGCCUGAGAGGGCGGACGGCCACACUGGGACUGAGACACGGCCCAGACUCCUACGGGAGGCAGCAGUGGGGAAUUGUUCGCAAUGGGCGCAAGCCUGACGACGCAACGCCGCGUGGAGGAUGAAGGUCUUCGGA